AGUGAACGCUGGCGGUAGGCCUAACACAUGCAAGUCGAACGGCAGCACAGUAAGAGCUUGCUCUUACGGGUGGCGAGUGGCGGACGGGUGAGGAAUACAUCGGAAUCUACUUUUUCGUGGGGGGUAACGUAGGGAAACUUACGCUAAUACCGCAUACGACCUACGGGUGAAAGCAGGGGAUCUUCGGACCUUGCGCGAUUGAAUGAGCCGAUGUCGGAUUAGCUAGUUGGCGGGGUAAAGGCCCACCAAGGCGACGAUCCGUAGCUGGUCUGAGAGGAUGAUCAGCCACACUGGAAUUGAGACACGGUCAAGACUCCUACGGGAGGGAGAAGUGGGGAAUAUUGGACAAUGGGCGCAAGCCUGAUCCAGCCAUACCGCGUGGGUGAAGAAGGCCUUCGGGUUGUAAAGCCCUUUUGUUGGGAAAGAAAAGCAGCAGGUUAAUACCCCGCUGUUCUGACGGUACCCAAAGAAUAAGCACCGGCUAACUUCGUG
rnacentral:rRNA from 1 species